AGUGCCAUGUCUCGACACCAGGCGCUAGUUUGGGCAGAAGGUGCAGGAAUUCGCUUUGGCAUGCCCUCGUAGACAGCGUGAAAUAGGACCGCACCUGCAUUACCGUGUCCUAGGAAGUCACCCGCUCCACUGUCCGUACAGGACGGGCGACUAUGGCUGGGAAAGAAACAGCUCGACCCUACUUGACGAUGUCGGGCGGCAGCUGCAACAUCGCCGAGGGUACAAGUAGUGCAGCCACCGAUCUGGACAAAAGCGGAGUUCCCGGAGAAACCAGAGAAGCAAUGGGGGAACAGCGAGAGAACCAUUCUACCAACACAAUCCAAGAGUGCCACGUGUGUCGGUUCGGUUUCACCGACGCGGAGGCCUUCCAAAAGCACGUCGCUGACCACUGGCUUGGGAAAAACCACAACUGCUCGGAGUGUGGUAAACUGUUUAUGUGGCCUUCGCACCUCACGAGGCAUUUAGGUACGCACGGCGAACCGGCCUUUGCGUGCAGCAUGUGCGGCGAAAAAUUUCAUACCAAAGAUAGCCGAAGGCAGCACAUGUAUGCAUGGCACGUCAGUUCACACCAGUGAGAAGCCGUCGAAGGGUCUCCUUAACACGGCAGCACGCGCCACGAAGUUGCACGAGCACGUCGUGAAGCGCCGUCGCACCUGACGGGGGCAUCUGCAUCGGCGUAGCCGGAAGUACUCCCUGGAAGUCACCCUGGCGUCAAGAUGUGUCGUGUGCCUUGGUAGAAGAAUUUGCCGUCUGGGCCUCAACUGUUGUAUCUGUGAACUAACUUCUUGACAAACGAAAUUGGGCUAAUCUUAUUCCCUCUGACUACGGCUGAAAAAUGCCUGCGAAUAAAGUUCUUACAGGGGUUAUCUCAAGGAAUGCUGCCGCCAACUGUGUGGUUUUCUUCGAAAAACGAAACCUGUUUGUCGCAAUCCUCUAGCCAUGGUUAAAAUAAAUUUACUUGCGUCCUGGAUUGAAUAAGAUAGCGAGAUAUCCUUCCUUAAAAAAAUAGUAGUAAGGAUAUUUAUAGUAGUUCUUAAUUGUGAAGUCGAGGAAGUGCCGCCCUAAUAUUCUCUAGUCUUGCUGGUGAGGUUCGCAAUAGUUUUAGUGCCCUUCACUGCACAAACUAAACUGUUCAAUUUCCUACACAUUUGUUCAAUUGAGGCCGCUCAAGACUGUGCCCGGAAAAGUGUGAUGGUCAUAGUGGAAUAACAGCUGCACGAGUCGGCUUAACUGUUGUAACUAAUUAUCACAUAAAACAUUGCUGCCGCUAAAUAAGGGACUUUAAUGAUGAUGCUUUGCUGUAAUCCCCUGAAAAAUGCCUGCGAAUAAAAUUCUUAGCGGUUAUCUUGA